GUCUUGCAGCGCAUUGGAUAGCUCGUUUGACUUUUAAUCUAAGGGUCGUGGGCUCGAAUCCCACCUGGGAUG